rnacentral:rRNA from 1 species
GUGGGGAAUCUUGCGCAAUGGGCGAAAGCCUGACGCAGCCAUGCCGCGUGAAUGAUGAAGGUCUUAGGAUUGUAAAAUUCUUUCACCGGGGACGAUAAUGACGGUACCCGGAGAAGAAGCUCCGGCUAACUUCGUGCCAGCAGCCGCGGUAAUACGAAGGGGGCUAGCGUUGCUCGGAAUUACUGGGCGUAAAGGGCGCGUAGGCGGACAGCUUAGUCAGAGGUGAAAGCCCAGGGCUCAACCUUGGAAUUGCCUUUGAUACUGGCUGUCUUGAGUUUGGGAGAGGUGAGUGGAACUCCGAGUGUAGAGGUGAAAUUCGUAGAUAUUCGGAAGAACACCAGUGGCGAAGGCGACUACCUGGACUGAUACUGACACUGAGGUGCGAAAGCGUGGGGAGCAAACAGGAUUAGAUACCCUAGUAGUCC